rnacentral:rRNA from 1 species
UACGGAGGGGCCGAGCGUUGUCCGGAGUUAUUGGGCGUAAAGCGCGCGCAGGCGGCCUCGCGCGCCCGACGUGAAAGCCCCCGGCUUAACCGGGGAGGGUCGUUGGGGACGGCGGGGCUUGAGGGCGGGAGAGGUCGGUGGAAUUCCCGGUGUAGUGGUGAAAUGCGUAGAGAUCGGGAGGAGCACCUGUGGCGAAGGCGGCCGACUGGGCCGACCCUGACGCUGAGGCGCGAAGGCGUGGGGAGCGAACGGG